GCCUGGGUGGCUCAGUCGGUUGAGCGUCCGACUUCGGCUCAGGUCACGAUCGCUCGGUCUGUGAGUUCGAGCCCCACAUUGGGCU
rnacentral:tRNA from 1 species